rnacentral:rRNA from 1 species
AGCAUACUCAUUUUGACGUUUAGCUUGCAGAAGAAGCACCGGCUAACUCCGUGCCAGCAGCCGCGGUAAUACGGAGGGUGCGAGCGUUAAUCGGAAUUACUGGGCGUAAAGCGCAUGCAGGUGGUUUGUUAAGUCAGAUGUGAAAGCCCGGGGCUCAACCUCGGAAUUGCAUUUGAAACUGGCAAACUAGAGUACUGUAGAGGGGGUAGAAUUUCAGGUGUAGCGGUGAAAUGCGUAGAGAUCUGAAGGAAUACCGGUGGCGAAGGCGGCCCCCUGGACAGAUACUGACACUCAGAUGCGAAAGCGUGGGGAGCAAACAGGAUUAGAUACCCUGGUAG